CCUACGGGGGGCAGCAGUGGGGAAUAUUGCACAAUGGGCGCAAGCCUGAUGCAGCCAUGCCGCGUGUGUGAAGAAGGCCUUCGGGUUGUAAAGCACUUUCAGCGGGGAGGAAGGCGGUGAGGUUAAUAACCUCAUCGAUUGACGUUACCCGCAGAAGAAGCACCGGCUAACUCCGUGCCAGCAGCCGCGGUAAUACGGGAGGGUGCAAGCGUUAAUCGGAAUUACUGGGCGUAAAGCGCACGCAGGCGGUCUGUCAAGUCGGAUGUGAAAUCCCCGGGCUCAACCUGGGAACUGCAUUCGAAACUGGCAGGCUAGAGUCUUGUAGGGGGGGUAGAAUUCCAGGUGUAGCGGUGAAAUGCGUAGAGAUCUGGAGGAAUACCGGUGGCGAAGGCGGCCCCCUGGACAAAGACUGACGCUCAGGUGCGAAAGCGUGGGGAGCAAACAGGAUUAGAUACCCUAGUAGUC
rnacentral:rRNA from 1 species